UGGGCCGGCCAGUGGUGCUGCCUGUGUGAUGCCGCCCACAGUGGUGCUGGGCGUGAGCUGGAACACUAGUCAGACCGUCUACACCUGCACUCUGGCUAAGUCUCUGUCAAGAACGUCUAUACCAUAAGACGACUUUCCAAGAGAAAGGAUCUACAGGGCCCCGAAGGAUGCACAAGCCAAGGGGAUGAAGAGAACAAUGACUGGGAAUGCUUUGCUCUUGUUCUGGCUCCUUCCAUUUUGGACAAGGAUGAACUCCACACAGGCUGCCUGACCCUCACCCCACCAGUAGAUUGGACAAUAAACUAAC